rfam:Trichosporon oleaginosus strain IBC0246 unplaced genomic scaffold CC85scaffold_1, whole genome shotgun sequence.
GGUGUCGUGGCGGAGUGGUUAACGCGAUUGACUAGAACCCAGUGAGCUGUUCUACAUAUCAAUUUCCUUCGGGAGCGCCUGUUCGAAUCAGGUCGACAUCG